UACGGAGGGUGCAAGCGUUAAUCGGAAUUACUGGGCGUAAAGCGCACGUAGGUGGUUUGUUAAGCUAGCUGUGAAAUCCCCGGGCUCAACCUGGGCACUGCAGUUAGAACUGGCAAGCUACAGUAGGGUAGAGGGGUGUGGAAUUCCAGGUGUAGCGGUGAAAUGCGUAGAUAUCUGGAGGAACAUCAGUGGCGAAGGCGACACCCUGGACUCAUACUGACACUGAGGUGCGAAAGCGUGGGGAGCAAACAGG
rnacentral:rRNA from 1 species